GUACUGCUGAGGAGUCUCACAAUAGGACGAAACGAUCUUGCAGUGC
rnacentral:hammerhead_ribozyme from 1 species